UUGGCGCUUUGUGAAGGCCUGUUCCGAAAGCCCCCCCACGGGUGGGGGCAGGCCCGAUGUCACUGCCGA
rfam:Scleropages formosus scaffold7492, whole genome shotgun sequence.